UUAGGAGGAGAUUGGGACCUGCUUGCUGAGCGUUUGGGAGGGGAGGUUGACAUGCUUGCUGCGCGUUUGGGAGCAGAGGUGCUGUUGGGAUUUGGUUGCUGCGAAACUGUGAGGAUACCUGCUUGGGACCUGCUAGCUUGCUACGAAAAUCGAGUCCACUGCUGAGAUUAAAAUUGCUAGACUGCCGAGAUUGGAGGAUUGUUAAGAUUGGAAGGCCCAUUGCUGAGGUAGUGUUCUCCUCAAGGUUACCCAUUGUUGCUUAGGUAUGCUUUUGUUUGCUUCAUUUAUGAAGGUUAAUGUCCUUGCAAAUAACUGCAUGAAAAUAACUGUAUGUCUUUUGACGAGAAUCAUUAACUAGUGUAUUUCAAUUUUGGUGCUCAAGUUUCUGCAUAUAUAUCCUUUGACCAUUUUUUUAUUCUGUAUAUGAUGCCUGAACAUUUGCAUUGCAUAUAGGACAGUUUUCAAUGAGGCAUACUAUUUCUGUUGCAGAUUGGCAAAACAAAAGUGCUCCUUUUAGGUUUGGAAUAACUGGUGCAAUGACUAGGGUUGGCAGUUCACCCUCAAACUACACUCUCAUGGUCUUAAUUCUACAUUCUCCCUUCUCUCCACAUUCCUAUCAUUAUUUCUUGUGGCUUGGAUCUGCCUUGGAUCUGAUGCUCUUAUGUAUACAUACAAUCCACUUAUUUGUAACAUUGAUUCUAUAUUCUCUGCAUUCUUUGAUAUUCAUUCCUUCACCUCCUUUGAUUGCAG
rnacentral:lncRNA from 1 species